AACGCUAGCUACAGGCUUAACACAUGCAAGUCGAGGGGAAACGACAUCGAAAGCUUGCUUUUGAUGGGUGUCGACCGGCGCACGGGUGAGUAACGCGUAUCCAACCUGCCCACCACUUGGGGAUAACCUUGUGAAAGUAAGACUAAUACCCAAUGAUAUCCCACGAAGGCAUCCGAAUGGGAUUAAAGAUUUAUCGGUGAUGGAUGGGGAUGCGUCUGAUUAGCUUGUUGGCGGGGUAACGGCCCACCAAGGCAACGAUCAGUAGGGGUUCUGAGAGGAAGGUCCCCCACAUUGGAACUGAGACACGGUCCAAACUCCUACGGGAGGCAGCAGUGAGGAAUAUUGGUCAAUGGGCGAGAGCCUGAACCAGCCAAGUAGCGUGCAGGAUGACGGCCCUAUGGGUUGUAAACUGCUUUUAUAAGGGAAUAAAGUGAGUCUCGUGAGACUUUUUGCAUGUACCUUAUGAAUAAGGACCGGCUAAUUCCGUGCCAGCAGCCGCGGUAAUACGGAAGGUCCGGGCGUUAUCCGGAUUUAUUGGGUUUAAAGGGAGCGUAGGCCGGAGAUUAAGCGUGUUGUGAAAUGUAGUGGCUCAACCUCUGCACUGCAGCGCGAACUGGUCUUCUUGAGUACGCACAACGUGGGCGGAAUUCGUGGUGUAGCGGUGAAAUGCUUAGAUAUCACGAAGAACUCCGAUUG
rnacentral:rRNA from 1 species